UUAUUAUCAUAGUUAAAGGGUUCUUUUUGAUUUCAUUUCAUCUUACUCCUUUUUACUUCGUAGUUAUUAGUAGUUUAAUAUUGUUACUUACUUGGUAAUAUCAGUUUCGUUUCGUUAUUCAGUAAAAAAAGUGGUGGUGUUAGUGUAUACCAUAAUAUUAUAGUCAUAUAUAAUUUAUUAAAAUAUAAAGGAAGAAAUAGAGAAUGGUUGUCGUCAUGAAGAACAAAUAACAAUCGAAUAUAUAUAUUAAAGGAAUAAUCGAGUUCUUCUACUCCUUUAACAAGGAGAAGUCGUGUUCUUCUUCCCCAAUACUACUACUUCUACCUCACUCCCUCUUCCUCCUCGUUUCUCUCUAUUAUAACUUUAAGUAUAAGCCUGAAGAAAAAGUUACGAAAGGGGGGAAUAGUUGAGAGAGCUUCUUCGUAUUUAUUGUGUGCUAACAUUUAUAUAUAUAUAUAUAUAUUGAUAUUUUUGAAUUGUUGUAGUCAAAAUUUGUAUCGCAUUGAAGAGGGGAGCAAGAAGGAUAGAUGAAUUCUUAGUGCAACAAUUUGACGAAGAAAUAUUAUACUAAGUAUAUAUAUAUAUAUAUUAUCAAAUAAGACACACACGUUUUACAAUCCAUUAUAAUAGGAAGGUCAAUCGUCAGCCAAUAUGUUCUCCAUGUGCAGUGACUGUAGGGACGCUGGGGUUGGCGAUGGAAUACCCCCUUCAAUCACCCAAGAAUUUUGGUACCUCUUUUCGAAGUCAUGUGCUCUUGGUGUACACAUCCAGCUUGAUAAUGGCUGCCCCAGAGUGUAAAACUGGACUAAGUUCCAAGAUGGCGCCUCUAAGACUCUCUUCCUGGUUUUCAUGAUUAAUUUAGUCAACAAUUGUCUACAUCUAAACCAUCUUGAACAAGCAUCAAGAAAAAGAGAAAGUCCCAAUAAUCUUUUUUAAUUCAUAUAUAUAUAUAAAUUAUAUACAGGCCAAUAUUUCCGGCAUAUUUGACUCAAUUAUAAGCUUUGUAAAUUUAUGGGAUGGGUUUAGAUUACCAAGAGUUUUAGAACCUUUAUUUGAUUUAAGAGACUUAAAUUGUCCCCGAUAUGACACCUUUCAAAUAAAGUCCCAUCAAUUUCUUAUUCUUUUAUUGUGACUUUAAGUGCAAUUUGCGGUACAUCCAAGAGUUAAUAAGAAUAAUUUUUUGGAUAUAAAUUGAGGAUAAUUCGUUGAAGAAUCCACAUUCAAUUUUAAGAAAAAUCAUACUAGCUUGUCUUUGUGUUGACUGGCCACACUUUUAAAAGAAGAUGAUGAUUAAUAGCGGAAUAUUUGGUUUGAUUGUCAAGCUGAUUAAAUAGAAAACAAAAAAAUUAUAUCCAAAAAAAUCUUUUGAUAUAAGUUUAACCCGGGCUUACUUAAAUAUGUUGUGUAUCAAAAAUGAGAUGAAUAAUUUUGAAAGCAGAUUUACGGUCUAAGCAAUAAUUGAUUAUUUCUUGGAUCAGUGGUUUCCAACCCGUGCUCCUCGCAGCCCUUGUGCCCUGUGGUGCAUCGUCGAGGGCUUCGUCAGAAAUUACAUCUAUAAUAUAUAAUAUAUUAUUGAUGUCAUUUUUUAAAUACUGGAGUGAUGGAAAUGUCGGGAACCACUGCCUUAAAUGGUCAAUAUAUUAAUGGCAUAAACCUUAGACUAUUUUGAUGACAAUUAGUAAUUGAUACGAAUACGCGGCAAUUUAUAAAGUUCAAAUACUUACAGUUAGAUUAAUCUUAAACACUUUAUAAAUGUUUGAUUUUAAUAGAUUAAAAUAAAAUGAUUGCAUCAAUGAAUAGCUGGCAAUUAAAAUGAUUAAUGUUGUAAUUAAAUAAAAACAUUAUGAAACGUACAAAUUGUAAGUUAUACACUAUGCUUAUACAACUUGUAUAAGCAUAUACUUAAAUGACUUGUAAAAAAUUUGAAUUAUAUUAUUUCUGUAUGACAUAAAUUAGAUAAUGAAUUUGAUUAGUGUGUUCGAUUAAGCAACUUCGAAAUGUGAUGAUUGGUUGUAGGGAUUGUAGCUUGCUUGUUCAAGUUGCAACAUAUCCACAACACAGUAUACAUGAUUUUUUCACUUUAUGCUUAAUCGAAUAUGUCCAUUUAUUUUUCCAGAAGUGCAACUGUAAUUAAUCUUAAUAGCGUUUAUACAUGUUGUACCUUUUAUUAAAAAUGAAUUUAGGUAGAUACUGUUUUUUAAUAACGCGAUUUAUUAUAACAUGACUUUUAUUUUCUUGAAAUAAUAAAAAUAAGAAACACACACACAAACUGUGUUAAGAGGAAACAAAUUAUAUAUUUUUUCAAAUAAUAAUAACUUAGGUUACCAUAUGUUAUGAUUUUUCACUUAUAUAUUUUACCUAG
rnacentral:lncRNA from 1 species